rnacentral:rRNA from 1 species
GACAGAGGGUGCGAACGUUGCUCGGAAUUACUGGGCGUAAAGCGCGUGUAGGCGGGUGAUCAAGCCAGGUGUGAAAUCCCUGGGCUCAACCCAGGAACUGCACUUGAAACUGGUUGCCUUGAGUGUUGGAGAGGGAAGCGGAAUUCCUGGUGUAGAGGUGAAAUGCGCAGAUAUCAGGAGGAACACCGGUGGCGAAGGCGGGUCUCUGGGCAGUAACUGACGCUGAGGAGCGAAAGCGUGGGGAGCGAACAGG